rnacentral:rRNA from 1 species
UACGUAGGGUGCGAGCGUUGUCCGGAAUUAUUGGGCGUAAAGGGCUCGUAGGCGGUUUGUCGCGUCGGGAGUGAAAACCUCGGGCUUAACUCGGGGCUUGCUUUCGAUACGGGCAGACUGGAGGUAUGCAGGGGAGAACGGAAUUCCUGGUGUAGCGGUGAAAUGCGCAGAUAUCAGGAGGAACACCGGUGGCGAAGGCGGUUCUCUGGGCAUGACCUGACGCUGAGACGCGAAAGCGUGGGGAGCAAACAGG